AGAGUUUGAUCAUGGCUCAGAUUGAACGCUGGCGGCAGGCCUAACACAUGCAAGUCGAGCGGUAACACAGAGAGCUUGCUCUCGGGUGACGAGCGGCGGACGGGUGAGUAAUGUCUGGGAAACUGCCUGAUGGAGGGGGAUAACUACUGGAAACGGUAGCUAAUACCGCAUAACGUCGCAAGACCAAAGUGGGGGACCUUCGGGCCUCAUGCCAUCAGAUGUGCCCAGAUGGGAUUAGCUAGUAGGUGGGGUAAUGGCUCACCUAGGCGACGAUCCCUAGCUGGUCUGAGAGGAUGACCAGCCACACUGGAACUGAGACACGGUCCAGACUCCUACGGGAGGCAGCAGUGGGGAAUAUUGCACAAUGGGCGCAAGCCUGAUGCAGCCAUGCCGCGUGUAUGAAGAAGGCCUUCGGGUUGUAAAGUACUUUCAGCGAGGAGGAAGGCGUUAAGGUUAAUAACCUUGGCGAUUGACGUUACUCGCAGAAGAAGCACCGGCUAACUCCGUGCCAGCAGCCGCGGUAAUACGGAGGGUGCAAGCGUUAAUCGGAAUUACUGGGCGUAAAGCGCACGCAGGCGGUCUGUCAAGUCGGAUGUGAAAUCCCCGGGCUCAACCUGGGAACUGCAUUCGAAACUGGCAGGCUAGAGUCUUGUAGAGGGGGGUAGAAUUCCAGGUGUAGCGGUGAAAUGCGUAGAGAUCUGGAGGAAUACCGGUGGCGAAGGCGGCCCCCUGGACAAAGACUGACGCUCAGGUGCGAAAGCGUGGGGAGCAAACAGGAUUAGAUACCCUGGUAGUCCACGCCGUAAACGAUGUCGACUUGGAGGUUGUGCCCUUGAGGCGUGGCUUCCGGAGCUAACGCGUUAAGUCGACCGCCUGGGGAGUACGGCCGCAAGGUUAAAACUCAAAUGAAUUGACGGGGGCCCGCACAAGCGGUGGAGCAUGUGGUUUAAUUCGAUGCAACGCGAAGAACCUUACCUACUCUUGACAUCCAGAGAACUUAGCAGAGAUGCUUUGGUGCCUUCGGGAACUCUGAGACAGGUGCUGCAUGGCUGUCGUCAGCUCGUGUUGUGAAAUGUUGGGUUAAGUCCCGCAACGAGCGCAACCCUUAUCCUUUGUUGCCAGCGGUCCGGCCGGGAACUCAAAGGAGACUGCCAGUGAUAAACUGGAGGAAGGUGGGGAUGACGUCAAGUCAUCAUGGCCCUUACGAGUAGGGCUACACACGUGCUACAAUGGCAUAUACAAAGAGAAGCGACCUCGCGAGAGCAAGCGGACCUCAUAAAGUAUGUCGUAGUCCGGAUUGGAGUCUGCAACUCGACUCCAUGAAGUCGGAAUCGCUAGUAAUCGUAGAUCAGAAUGCUACGGUGAAUACGUUCCCGGGCCUUGUACACACCGCCCGUCACACCAUGGGAGUGGGUUGCAAAAGAAGUAGGUAGCUUAACCUUCGGGAGGGCGCUUACCACUUUGUGAUUCAUGACUGGGGUGAAGUCGUAACAAGGUAACCGUAGGGGAACCUGCGGUUG
rnacentral:rRNA from 4 species